rnacentral:rRNA from 1 species
CCCCUAGAUGUUCUGGGCCGCACGCGCGCUACACUGAACAGUUCAACAAGUCUUAACCUUGGCCGAUAGGUCUGGGUAAUCUUUGAACGCUGUUCGUGAUUGGGAUAGACCUUUGCAAUUAUGGGUCUUCAACGAGGAAUUCCUAGUAAACGCAAGUCAUCAGCUUGCAUUGAUUACGUCCCUGCCCUUUGUACACACCGCCCGUCGCACCUACCGAUUGAAUGGUCCGGUGAAAUCUCGGGACGGCGGCUUGGUCGCUUGCGUCCGACUGCUGAAACUUGAUUAAACCAUNUNAUUCAUNGGAAGGUGAANUCGUANCA